rnacentral:rRNA from 1 species
AGAUUGAACGCUGGCGGAAUGCUUUACACAUGCAAGUCGAGCGGCAUCGCGGGGCAACCUGGCGGCGAGCGGGGAACGGGUGAGUAAUGCAUCGGAACAUGUCCAAGUCGUGGGGGAUAGCCCGGCGAAAGCCGGAUUAAUACCGCAUAAGCCCGGGAGGGGAAAGCAGGGGACCGCAAGGCCUUGCGCGAUUGGGUUGGCCGAUGUCCGAUUAGCUAGUUGGUGAGGUAAAGGCUUACCAAGGC